GUACCUAGGAUGCCCAGAAAGCAACAUCUAUGACUUAAAAGACAACACCCACCCCCCCCCCCUCCCAAUCAAAUUAAAGACGGUCAAAAAUCUCUCCCCAACCCAAUACCUUGUCUGAGUUGUCUCUCUCUCUCCCAAACGCACGCCCACACUCUCUCUCUCUCUCUCUUUGGGGAGAGGGAAGAUGUUAGGGUUUAAGAUGUCCCCUGUAAGUCCAUCUCCAGCUUGCGCUGGCCGUGGCCUUGUCUCCUCCAUUCUUCCUGCUGGUCCUCACGCCUCUGUCAAGAUUUCCCAAAGAUGGUUUCUGCUGAAAAGGUUCAGAGACGGCAGAAGUGCUUCCUGUAAGGAUUAUCCUUUAUGUGCAUGCUGUAAGGAUUAUCUCUUGUUCCAACAUCACACGUUAAAAGAUUUUCUGACCUGAGUGUGGUUGGAGUUUUACGGGUUGACACUCAGCAGGGUGGAAUAGGGAAUGAAGCCAUCGGUCCGUGUAGCGUAAUAUUGAAAUUCUGUAAAGGAUUUAGGUAGUUUGAACAAAUUAAAUUUUUUUGGAUCACAGCUUUAGCGCUGAACUUGCUUUUGUUCUCUUAUGAAUUUUGUGCCAUUAUCCAUUAUAA